rnacentral:rRNA from 1 species
GGACUACCCGGGUAUCUAAUCCCGUUCGCUCCCCUAGCUUUCGUCCCUGAGCGUCAGGUACUCCCCAGGACACUGCCUUCGCCUUUGGUGUUCCUCCGGAUCUCUACGCAUUUCACCACUCCACCCGGAAUUCCGUGUCCCUCUGAAGCCCUCAAGUGCCCCAGUUUUGCGACGCCUUCCCCAGUUAAGCCGGGAACUGUCAGUCGCAACCCAAAGCACCGCCUGCGGACGCUUUACGCCCAGUAACUCCGGACAACGCUCGCCCCCUACGUAUUACCGCGGCUGCUGGCAC